UUUUAAUGGAAAUUGCAGUUC
rnacentral:piRNA from 1 species